rfam:HIV-1 isolate 662849 from Switzerland pol protein (pol) gene, partial cds.
AUUGGUACRGUACUAGUAGGACCUACACCUGUCAACAUARUUGGAAGAGAUCUGUUGACUCAGCUUGGGUGUACACUAAAUUUUCCAAUUAGCCCCAUUAAAACUGUACCAGU